UCCCUGAUGGUUCAGACGUUAAAAGCAUCUGCCUAUAAUGCAGGGGACCCAGGUUCGAUCCCUGGGUCGGGAA
rfam:Ovis aries breed Texel chromosome 6, whole genome shotgun sequence.